GCUCCUAUAAUUCAAUGGACUAGAAUAUUGUUUUUAUACAGCAAAGAUCGCGGUUCGAUUCCGCGUAGGAGCU
rnacentral:tRNA from 1 species